CACGAAGGGGGCUAGCGUUGCUCGGAAUCACUGGGCGUAAAGCGCACGUAGGCGGCUUUCUAAGUCAGGGGUGAAAUCCUGGAGCUCAACUCCAGAACUGCCUUUGAUACUGGAGAGCUUGAGUCCGGGAGAGGUGAGUGGAACUCCGAGUGUAGAGGUGAAAUUCGUAGAUAUUGGGAAGAACACCGGUGGCGAAGGCGGCGACCUGGUCCUUGACUGACGCUGAGGCACGAAAGCGUGGGAGCAAACAGG
rnacentral:rRNA from 1 species